rnacentral:tRNA from 1 species
GCAGAUGCGGCCGAGUGUUUAAGGCACCUGCCUAGAAAUCAGUUUCUCUCUGGGAGCUUAGGCUCGAAUCCUACCAUCUGCC